GCUGUAUGCGUCAGCGCACCAGAGGAGCUCCUUAAGCCUGAGGAUUUUGAGGCCCCAGAUUCUUGCCUUCCACCUGCAGACAGGCCGAGGCACCACUUUGAGAAACAGUUCCCAAGGGUGAAGCUGCAAGCAAGGGCAGGAGGGCAUGUAGCUGAGGGACUCGCCGGAGGUCCCAGCUGGAGUCCCUGGAUUGAGUCGCCCCCUACCUCUUGUGCUUCCCCGAGGUGUUCCAGGGGCUCUUGGAGCGCCGCAUUGAAAUCGAUGUCCUCGCAAGUUUUCAAAAACAGCACCAUCUUAAACCAUCUAUGCAGAUGGCAGGCUGCAUCCUAUCAAUGAGACAUGAACUGGCUAACAAGUCCUGAUAAUGAUUUCUAUCUGUGCCAUGGAAAUGAGUUUACAAUCUUCUGAAAAACCCCACUUCUCAUCAGGAUAGUGAUUCUGUACUACUUUAGGUAAUUAUCUCCAGAAAUGGAUGACAUUAGAGCUAUCAGGAAAGACCACAUAGACCAACCAGGAAAAACCCAUCAUGGCUACUGGAAGAACGACUUCAAGUGAACAUCCUAUUACUGGUUAAAUAAUGUUGUCUUCGUAUACAGUAUCAUCUACAGAGUUUACAUUCAAAUAUAAUCUAUGUCAUCUACUGAAACAAACUGA